GAAAUGCGAUAAGUAGUGUGAAUUGCAGAAUUCAGUGAAUCAUCGAAUCUUUGAACGCACAUUGCGCCCCUUGGUAUUCCAUGGGGCAUGCCUGUUCGAGCGUCAUUUGUACCCUCAGGCUCUGUUUGGUGUUGGGUGUUUGUCCCGUCUCCGCGCGUGGACUCGCCCCAAAGUGAUUGGCAGCCGGCGUACUGGUCCCGGAGCGCAGCACAUGUCGCGCAAACGAGUGCCUUGGUACGGCGGCGUCCAUAAGCCCCUCUCUCACGCUCUUGACCUCGGAUCAGGUAGGGAUACCCGCUGAACUUAAGC
rnacentral:misc_RNA from 1 species